AAAGGAAGUUGACGGGACCGCACAAGCGGUGGAUGAAAUGUGGUUUAAUUCGAUGCAACGACGAAAACCUUACCUACCCUUGACAUGUCAGGAACUCCGUAGAGAUGCGGAGGUGCUACGAAAGAGAGCCUGAACACAGGUGCUGCAUGGCCGUCGUCAGCUCGUGUCGUGAGAUGUUGGGUUAAGUCCCGCAACGAGCGCAACCCUUGUCAUUAGUUGCUACGAAAGCGCACUCUAAUGAGACUGCCGGUGACAAACCGGAGGAAGGUGGGGAUGACGUCAGGUCCUCAUGGCCCUUAUGGGUAGGGCUACACACGUCAUACAAUGGCCGGUACAGAGGGUUGCCAACCCGCGAGGGGGAGCUAAUCCCAUAAAGCCGGUCGUAGUCCGGAUCGCAGUCUGCAACUCGACUGCGUGAAGUCGGAAUCGCUAGUAAUCGCGGAUCAGCUUGCCGCGGUGAAUACGUUCCCGGGUCUUGUACACACCGCCCGUCACACCAUGGGAGCGG
rnacentral:rRNA from 1 species